UUCAGUACAUAAUUAGAGGGUUUACCCAAGUUUCAUCUAAAUAUCAUGGGAGAGAUUAAAGUCUCUCCUGACUAUAACUGGUUCAGAAGUACAGUUCCACUUAAAAAGGCUCUUCUCUGUAGGCUUGGUGAGGAACUAAAGUGUUUGGUGUGUGCAGCCCUCUUAUAACUUCUGCUGUGAGCUACCAGUGUUG